UACGUAGGGGGCAAGCGUUGUCCGGAUUUAUUGGGCGUAAAGAGCGUGUAGGCGGUUUGGUAGGUCCGCUGUGAAAACUCGAGGCUCAACCUCGAGACGCCGGUGGAAACCAUCAGGCUAGAGUCCGGAAGAGGAGAGUGGAAUUCCUGGUGUAGCGGUGAAAUGCGCAGAUAUCAGUAAGAACACCCGUGGCUAAGGCGGCUCUCUAGUACGGUACUGACGCUGAGACGCGAAAGCGUGGGGAGCGAACAGG
rnacentral:rRNA from 1 species